GGCCUUGGAUCCGCCUCCCUGCUCCUGACUGUCUGGGUGAGCACUGCACUGUCUGACCCUGACCAGUCUCUGGACUCGAUCCUGACCCAGACUUUCUUUGCAUCCUGCUUCUUGGUCGGUAAAUUCACUGCUUCCACCAGAACCAUGGUCACAUUCAGCUCAUGACUCGCCUUCCCAGGCAGAGCAGCCAGCCCUCACUGCUCCUGAAAACCAUCGAGUACAAGCUAUCAAAGUCAGUCAGUUUGUAAUUGUUUUGUCUGAGCAAAUGAUGCCUUUGUUGUUUGAGCUGAUGGUGACUUUGCUGUAGAUGAUAAACACGAUGCUCUGACAUUUCUAAUAUGAGGGUUGAACUAUCACGUCACUAUGGACCCUAUCAGCUGCAUUUGGAAAUGGACCCAGGAUGUGUUCACCACAGAGAUAAAAGCUGAGAUUGACUCUUCCACAAGGUUUCAGUAGGAAAGAAGACCAGGAGCCAGUGAACCAGAAUGAGGGGGAAGUCAGAGAACAUGUCAUUCAAUUCAUCUUGUAGCACAAAGGCAGAGACCUGGAGAAUUUCUUUCUCUCUUACUGAAUAGAAGAUUUUGAAUAACCAUAGCAACAGUAAAACCUGCUGUGAAACUUACAGCAUGAAGUGUUUCAGAUAUCUAGCUCUGGAGAUCAAGGAGUUAGUGAAGGGUAUCGCUUCUGUGUUGUUGUUCCCCCCUGUCCCAUCACUCCCAGCCAGCCUGCUUCAUUCACCCUCACAGGAUCACUGUGGCUGGGAAGGUCGGUGAGGAUUUCAUCUGCCACCAGAGAGCACUGUAACUAUACGCUCCAGCCAGCCGGCCCAAUUUCCAGACCUGAAGGACUUGAGUGUUUUUUUUUUUCUACUUUUAUUUGCACACAAACAUAGCUUCACUUACAUCCUUCAGGCAGCAUGGCUGCAGCAAAGCUACCAAUGCUUUGAGUCCUGGCAUAUCUAAGGAGCACAGCACUGCUCGCCUUCUGUGAUCAUUCCUGUGGUUAAUAUGCAGUUUCCUGACUGAAACCAUUGCACCAUGCAGGCUUAAUAAUUACUUUGAGAUGGGACAUCUCCCUUUUUAGGGAUGGCAGAGAACUUUGUAGAUGGUACAUGUUCCUGGCCGAGAAAUAACGUAUCUGCAGAUGUGUAGACAGCCUUUAGGUAUUUCCUUCUUGAAAGGCUAUAACACCAACAUAUAUUAAUCCUUAGUUUUGUGCAUAAUAGUUGUGGGCUAUUCAUCACUGGAUUAAAGGAGAUCCUAUAAACACUGCACCAGAAUGUUGUUGUUUUCUGUGCAAGUUUUUGACUAUUUCUCUUUGUUACAGGCAGUGUCAGAGGGCUUCUUCCAUCUUCUCAGUAGCAGGGUAGCAAGGGAUUGGAGUAUAUGGAUUCCUUGGUUCUCAUCCCUGGGUUUAAAGUGUAUGUGGGAAUAAGGCAGAGGGUCAAAGUACUGCACAAAGCACCUGCUGAUGAGACACAAAGCCCAUGGUCAGAUCAAGUGGAGCUGACAUGGAUCUGUAUCUAGACUUGAAGAAGAAGGAUGAAGGACCCCACAUUUCCAGCAGCAGAGC